rnacentral:pre_miRNA from 1 species
UCUUACGGAUAAGCAAAGAAAUUGGUUUUUUGAGAUGGAAUCCACUCUUGGUGAAGAUGCUGUGAA